ACUUUAUACAUUUUUAUUUCUUUUACUGCCAUGUGGUUAAUGGAGUUUUGCCUCUGUCCUGGAAAAUAAUUGGAUUACUUCCCAGUUAUCUCCAGGACAGAGGGAGGGAAGUUAGGAUGCAUUGUGGGGAUGUUUUACCUCUGUGUGUCUGUCAUUGGUUCACGUCUGUCCUUUGUCACAGUCUCCCAUUUGGUCCCCUAGGGGAGUGUCCACCAGGUGGGAGACCUGCAUAAAUACUGGGCAGGUAGCCCUCAUUAAACCAGACCACUACUUGACCCUCAACACUGAGCUCUGUCUCGUCUUUGGGGGGAUUUACU